rnacentral:tRNA from 1 species
GCCGAUGUAGCUCAACUGGUAGAGCAGCGGUUUUGUAAACCGCAGGUCGUAGGUUCAAAUCCUAUCGUCGGCU